rnacentral:lncRNA from 1 species
CUCCAUUACAUAAGUCGUCUAUACAUGCCAUAAUUUCCGAAAUACUAGUAGCAAAAUACCCAAACGUGGAUGAUAGUGUAGAUGAUUGUCUGACUCCGUCCCAAUUCCGAGUUGAUGGAAAUCACUAUAAUCAAGGGAAAAAUAAAAACGAUUAAGCAUAUAGCUUAGUAAGUAAACAUAUGACAAAUAAAUAAAUUUCUCACAUGACUACACCAUAGUAUAAAUUUAUUCACAAAUAAAUUUCAUUGUUUGUGUAAUUUCCAGCAAGCUGGUUUUCUGCAUCAUGACCACUAAUUUAUUUUUAUCUAGAGCUACAAGGCUCCAAAUUGAAUUCCGUAAAUUUUCCCUGAAACUAGACCCAUAUAUCUUUUUAUCAUAAAAUUUUCAGAAUUUUUGGUCGAGUCAAUUAGUACAGUUUAUUCUUUAAAUAUUCCCCUGUUUCACUGCCCGAUAGUCCUGACCUCCCCUUACAAAAAUUCACAUAACUCUUUGUAAAAGUUUCAAACAAUGUUCUAGUUUGUUUCUAUUAAAAAUAGACUCAAAAAGGAAUCCAGGAAUAUAGAUUUCAAGCCAUAAUUAUUUUUUUAUAAUUUUUGGUGAUUUUCCAAAGUUGGAAUAGGGGAUUUCGAAAUCAAUCCAUCCCUGUCUCAGUAAAAUUCAAAUAUCUCCAAAAAUACAACUCUUUUGCUUUCUCUAUUUCUUUCAUAUGAAAAUAGACUCAUUCAGAUUCAAUUUCAUAUAUUAUUUAACCUCUAAUUCAUUUUCCACCAUUUAUGGUGAUUUUUCAUAGUUGCCCAACUGCUGCCAUUCAAAACAGUUUUGCAUUCAAAUUGUCUCUUUUUGUAUUUUUUAUUUUCCUCCCAUCUUAUACAUGGGUUGAUUAAGUAUCAAACCCAAUAUUCCUCCCAUAAACUUAUCCACCACAUAUAUGACUAUUCACCUUCCCAAUUUACUCGUUGAACACUCGGAAUGUUAACCGUUAUCGGUGGAUUCCGCACUUAGCAACCACCAAUGAAUCGGGGAAUCAGCACACAGCAACCCCUUGGGGGAAUCAGCACUUAGCAACCCCCUUCACAUUUCAGAUGUGGUGGAAUCAGCACUUAGCAACCACCAAUUAAUGGGGGAAUCAGCACUUAGCAACCCCCUUUCACAUUUAAAAUACGGUGGAAUCAGCACUUAGCAACCACCAAUAAAUCGGGGAAUCAGCACAUAGCAAUCCCUUGGGGGAAUCAGCACUUAGCAACCCCUUUUCACAUUUAAAAUAUGGUGGAAUCAACACUUAGCAACCACCAAUGAAUCGGGGAAUCAACACACAGCAACCCCUUUAUAUGCAAUAUGCUCCGGCCUAUUCCGAGUGUUCAACCAAAAACCGUGUUUUGCAACCCCUUACCACCUUUCCCAAUUUAACAACAUUUUUGGAAUCUUGCCAAACAUUUAUUUUAUAUUCAAAUAAAUCUCAACACAUAUCAAAUAAUAUCAAAAUAAUACAUUAAGUCACAUGUUUACUUACCUCGGUGCAAAAUAUCGUAAUUUUGCAAUUCACUCCACUAUCUUUUCUUUUCCUCGUUUGAGAUAAUCUUCCCAUCUCUCUUGAUCUAUAAUAGGAAAUUUAACUCGUUUAAUGUUCACAUUUAUUAAAAUAAUCCUCCACCCAACUUUUUGAAAAUUUACAAUUUUGCCCCCAAACUUUACAUAUUUACACUUUUGUCCCUAAGUCAGAAAUUAAACUUCAUCACUUAUUCUUAGGUUUUAUGACAUGCUGAACAUUUUUCCCUUCUAUGGCAACAUCAAAUUCUCACUCUAACACAUACUUUUGAACAUUAACUAUUUUUACCGAUUAUGUCAAUUUACCUGUUUUCGUUUAAAAUCGCUUAGCAAAAGUUGUUUAACAUAAUUUCUAGCUUCAUAUUCCACCAUAAAACAGAAAAAUAAACACAUUUCACCUAUGAGUAUUUUUCCAAAUAUGAACCCUAACACGAAUUAUUGAUAGAAUAAGCUAAAUUAAGUUACCAGGACUCCAAAAACGUAAAAAACAUUAAAAACGGGGCUUGGAAUCACUUACUAUUGAGCUUGGAAGCUUAAAAACCCUAACUAUGGCUUCCCCCUU